UCGGGAAUAUUGGACAAUGGGCGAAAGCCUGAUCCAGCAACGCCGCGUGCGGGACGAAGGCCCUCGGGUCGUAAACCGCUGUCAGGAGGGAGGAACGGUGCGUGGUUAAGAGCUGCGUACUUUGACAGUACCUCCAGAGGAAGCCCCGGCUAACUCCGUGCCAGCAGCCGCGGUAAUACGGAGGGGGCUAGCGUUGUUCGGAAUUACUGGGCGUAAAGCGCACGUAGGCGGACCAGAAAGUUGGGGUGAAAUCCCGGGGCUCAACCCGGAACUGCCUCCAAAACUAUUGGUCUAGAGUUCGAGAGAGGUGAGUGGAAUUCCAAGUGUAGAGGUGAAAUUCGUAGAUAUUUGGGAGGAACACCAGUGGCGAAGGCGGCUCACUGGCUCGAUACUGACGCUGAGGUGCGAAAGUGUGGGGAGCAAACAGGAUUAGAUACCCUGGUAGUCCACGCCGUAAACGGUGGGCGCUAGGUGUGGGGAUCGUUUCCCACGAUCUCCGUGCCGUAGCUAACGCAUUAAGCGCCCCGCCUGGGAGUACGGCCGCAAGAUUAAAA
rnacentral:rRNA from 1 species